rnacentral:tRNA from 1 species
GCCGAUAUAACUCAGUUGGUAGAGUAGCUCAUUCGUAAUGAGCAAGCCAAGGGUUCGAGCCCCUUUAUCGGCUCUA